rnacentral:tRNA from 1 species
GCCACCAUAGCUCAGCGGUAGAGCAGCUCACUUGUAAUGAGCAGGUCGUCGGUUCAAGUCCGACUGGUGGCU